AGAACGUAAUGACGCCAGCUGGUACCAAUUUCAAAAUGACAAAUAUUUACGACAUAAAGGCUGAAAGAGGACAGUUUGGAUGUUAAUCGUGUUAAUGUCUGCGAGCCAAAUAAGCAUUCAUCUUCCUUUACUGGAGCGGCGAGGGCCACUUUGCUCAUCUGACGUCAUAUGUCCACAGCCAGGUCGCAGGAGAGCUGGUGACGUCAUCUGGUCAGGAUGAAGGAUCUUUUGGGGGUAAAAGGGCCAAAGAAGAACCUCCUGCUCUCCAGCUGCUCACCAGCCAGGCCACUGGAACGCUGAUUUGGCCCCGCGGAGCCCCUACAACUGAAGAGCAGCCAGAUAACUUUAUCUCCUGACCAACCGGCGCCCGCAUCCCCAAGUACCUCCGUGUCUCCGCAGUGAGCCGUGCGCCUCACCUGCCGAUCUUCCCCCUGGACUCUGAUUGCCUUCCUCGACCCCCGCACUCGGACCUGGACUUCUGGACGCCUCUCUCCUGCCCCCACGGACCUCGCUCGGAUCACGAACCUCUUUUGCUUCGCCCCUCUGGACUUCUUUGCUGCCACAACCAACACACACUUACAAUAACCUCUGGUAACUUAUAUUUGGUUAACUUCUACACAUAGCCCUGCAUCCACACACAUAGUAGCAUACACACCCGACGUAAUCAUCAAGCUCAAAUAAAACCCGUUGAGCUAGACCUCCUGCUGUCGUACCGUCUCCUUCCCCCUUCGUCUUACGUAACAGUACCGGUACCAAAAUGUAUUUUGAUACUUUUCUAAAAA